rnacentral:tRNA from 1 species
ACAACUGUGGCGCAAUGGUAGCGCAUCGCCUCUUGUUCUAAACGAGAAGAUCUUCAUUGGAUAAGGCACAUCUUGGAUAGAGAAGCAAGUGAGCGAAGAGUCCAGGUUCAAUUCCUGGCAGUUGUG